GAGGAGCCUGCGGCGGAUUAGCUAGUUGGUAGGGUAACGGCUUACCAAGGCGACGAUCCGUAACCGGCCUGAGAGGGCGGUCGGUCACACUGACACUGACAUACGGGUCAGACUCCUACGGGAGGCAGCAGUCGGGAAUUUUGGGCAAUGGGCGAAAGCCUGACCCAGCAACGCCGCGUGAAGGAUGAAAUCCCUCGGGAUGUAAACUUCGCAAGAAUGGGAAGAAUGAGCGAGCGCUAAUACCGUUCGUGAUGACGGUACCAUUUGUAAGCUCCGGCUAACUCCGUGCCAGCAGCCGCGGUAAUACGGGGGGAGCAAGCGUUGUUCGGAUUUACUGGGCGUAAAGGGCGCGUAGGCUGUGCUGUAAGUCAGGCGUGAAAGGCCCGGGCUCAACCUGGGAAUGGCGCUUGAUACUGCGGCGCUGGAAGGCGGGAGAGGAUGGCGGAAUUCCCAGUGUAGAGGUGAAAUUCGUAGAUAUUGGGAAG
rnacentral:rRNA from 1 species